UGAGGAAUAUUGGUCAAUGGGCGGAAGCCUGAACCAGCUAAGUCGCGUGAGGGAAGACGGUCCUAUGGAUUGUAAACCUCUUUUGCCGGGGAGCAAUGCCGUUCUUGCGAAGAGCGGAGGGAGAGUACCCGGAGAAAAAAGCAUCGGCUAACUCCGUGCCAGCAGCCGCGGUAAUACGGAGGAUGCGAGCGUUAUCCGGAUUUAUUGGGUUUAAAGGGUGCGUAGCGGGCUGUUAAGUCAGCGGUCAAAUGUCGGGGCUCAACCCCGGCCUGCCGUUGAAACUGGCGGUCUUGAGUGAGCGAGAAGUAUGCGGAAUGCGUGGUGUAGCGGUGAAAUGCAUAGAUAUCACGCAGAACUCCGAUUGCGAAGGCAGCAUACCGGCGCUCAACUGGUCGCUGAGGCACGAAAGCGUGGGGAUCGAACAGGAUUAGAUACC
rnacentral:rRNA from 1 species